rnacentral:rRNA from 1 species
GAUGAACGCUGGCGGCGUGCCUAAUACAUGCAAGUCGAGCGAACAGAUGAGGAGCUUGCUCCUCUGACGUUAGCGGCGGACGGGUGAGUAACACGUGGAUAACCUACCUAUAAGACUGGGAUAACUUCGGGAAACCGGAGAUAAUACCGGAUAAUAUAUUGAACCGCAUGGUUCAAUAGUGAAAGACGGUUUUGCUGUCACUUAUAGAUGGAUCCGCGCCGCAUUAGCUAGUUGGUAAGGUAACGGCUUACCAAGGCAACGAUGCGUAGCCGACCUGAGAGGGUGAUCGGCCACACUGGAACUGAGACACGGUCCAGACUCCUACGGGAGGCAGCAGUAGGGAAUCUUCCGCAAUGGGCGAAAGCCUGACGGAGCAACGCCGCGUGAGUGAUGAAGGUCUUCGGAUCGUAAAGCUCUGUUAUUAGGGAAGAACAAAUGUGUAAGUAACUAUGCACGUCUUGACGGUACCUAAUCAGAAAGCCACGGCUAACUACGUG